GGCAUGGUGGCUUAGUGGUUAGCGCUGUUGCCUCGCACCGCCAGAGUUGGGGGCUCAAAUCCUACCUCCGCCC